ACAAAGUACCGUGAGGGAAAAGUUGCAAAGCACUUUGAAAGAAGAGAGUUAAAGAGGACGUGAAACCGGUAAGGUGGAAACGGAUAGAGUCGGCGUAUCAUUCAAUUAUUCAGUUACAUUAUUUUUAUGUUGUGACCUCUGAGCUCCAGAUUGGGACAGAGGGAAUCAGCAUAAUUUUUUGUGGUGCAUUUACUUGAUUGGUGCUUGGGGAUGUUUGAGGCAGAUUUGUUUCCGUCGUUUUGAGGCCAGCUUGCUGGUACCCAAACGGUGUUAGCAUUUUUUGUCUUGGGCAUUUGAGUAUGGCUCACGUGUAUUUAUUGGACAGAUCUGAGUGUAAGUUACGGUCGCAUGCGACACGUGCUUUUCAAUUAGUUCGGUCCAGUUAAUGCUCUCGUACUCGUUCCCCAUGUAAAAGCCGGUCAUCUAUCCGACCCGUCUUGAAACACGGACCAAGGAGUUUAUCGUGUGCGCAAGUUUUUGGGUGUUAAAAACUUAAAAGCGAAAUGAAAGUAAAUGACUCUUUAGAGUCUGAUGUGCGAUCUUGUAAAAAAGUGUAGCAUGGCCCCAUUCUAACUGUUUACAGUAGGGUGGCGGAAGAGCGUACGCGGUGAGACCCGAAAGAUGGUGAACUAUUCCUGAGCAGGACGAAGCCAGAGGAAACUCUGGUGGAAGUCCGAAGCGGUUCUGACGUGCAAAUCGAUCGUCUGACUGGGUAUAGGGCGAAAG
rnacentral:rRNA from 1 species